rnacentral:rRNA from 1 species
CAGUGGGGAAUCUUGCGCAAUGGGCGAAAGCCUGACGCAGCCAUGCCGCGUGAAUGAUGAAGGUCUUAGGAUUGUAAAAUUCUUUUAGCAGGGACGAUAAUGACGGUACCUGCAGAAAAAGCCCCGGCUAACUUCGUGCCAGCAGCCGCGGUAAUACGAAGGGGGCUAGCGUUGCUCGGAAUUACUGGGCGUAAAGGGAGCGUAGGCGGGUUAUCAAGUUGGAGGUGAAAGCCCAGGGCUCAACCUUGGAAUUGCCUUCAAAACUGAUAACCUAGAGGAUGAUAGAGGUAAGUGGAACUCCGAGUGUAGAGGUGAAAUUCGUAGAUAUUCGGAAGAACACCAGUGGCGAAGGCGACUUACUGGAUCAUUACUGACGCUGAGGCUCGAAAGCGUGGGGAGCAAACAGGAUUAGA